GAAAUGCGAUAAGUAAUGUGAAUUGCAGAAUUCAGUGAAUCAUCGAAUCUUUGAACGCACAUUGCGCCCGCCAGUAUUCUGGCGGGCAUGCCUGUCCGAGCGUCAUUUCAACCAUCAAGCCCCCGGGCUUGUGUUGGGGACCUGCGGCUGCCCGCAGGCCCUGAAAACCAGUGGCGGGCUCGCUGUCACACCGAGCGUAGUAGCAAUCACCUCGCUCAGGGCGUGCUGCGGGUUCCGGCCGUUAAACAGCCUUACAAAACCCUAGGUUGACCUCGGAUCAGGUAGGAAGACCCGCUGAACUUAAGC
rnacentral:misc_RNA from 1 species